rnacentral:rRNA from 1 species
CCCGGGCCUUGUACACACCGCCCGUCACACCACGAGAGUUUGUAACACCCGAAGUCGGUGGAGUAACCGUAAGGAGCUAGCCGCCUAAGGUGGGACAGAUGAUUGGGGUGAAGUCGUAACAAGGUACCC